rnacentral:rRNA from 1 species
AUACGGAGGGUGCAAGCGUUAUCCGGAUUCAUUGGGUUUAAAGGGUGCGCAGGCGGACUUGUAAGUCAGUGGUGAAAUCCCGGGGCUCAACCUCGGAACUGCCAUUGAUACUGCAAGUCUUGAGUUUGGUUGAAGUGGGCGGAAUGUAGCAUGUAGCGGUGAAAUGCAUAGAUAUGCUACAGGACACCGAUCGCGAAGGCAGCUCACUAAACCAACACUGACGCUCAGGCACGAAAGCGUGGGGAGCGAACAGGAUUAGAAACCCUAGUAGUCC